UGACAAGAUGAGUUUAAUACACUGAACAGUCUAUUGGAAAUAGUGAGAAAUUAUAAUCUGAAUUUAAAUAUUUUGAAAGAUUUAAUCUCUAAUUAGAUUAGAGAAUAAUUAAAUAUUCAUAGAUUAUUAUGAGAUAAUAUUCUAAUUAGAUUAGAUUUAAAUAUGAAUAUUUAAUUAUGAUUUAAUAGAUAAGAUCCAAUUAAAUUGAAUUCAUUAGAGAGAUGAGAAUUAAUUCUAUUCGAUAAGCUUCAAUUAGUUUGU
rnacentral:lncRNA from 1 species